rnacentral:rRNA from 1 species
GACGAACGCUGGCGGCGUGCUUAACACAUGCAAGUCGAACGGAAAGGCCUCUUUCGGGGGGUACUCGAGUGGCGAACGGGUGAGUAACACGUGAGUAACCUGCCCUUGACUUUGGGAUAACUUCAGGAAACUGGGGCUAAUACCGGAUAGGAGCUCCUGCUGCAUGGUGGGGGUUGGAAAGUUUCGGCGGUUGGGGAUGGACUCGCGGCUUAUCAGCUUGUUGGUGGGGUAGUGGCUUACCAAGGCUUUGACGGGUAGCCGGCCUGAGAGGGUGACCGGCCACAUUGGGACUGAGAUACGGCCCAGACUCCUACGGGAGGCAGCAGUGGGGAAUAUUGCACAAUGGGUGGAAGCCUGAUGCAGCAACGCCGUGUGCGGGAUGACGGCCUUCGGGUCGUAAACCGCUUUCGCUCAUGACGAAGCUUUGUGUGACGGUAGUGGGUAAAGAAGCACCGGCUAACUACGU